GAUGAAGAACGUAGCGAAAUGCGAUAAGUAAUGUGAAUUGCAGAAUUCAGUGAAUCAUCGAAUCUUUGAACGCACAUUGCGCCCGCCAGUAUUCUGGCGGGCAUGCCUGUCCGAGCGUCAUUUCAACCCUCGAACCCCUCCGGGGGGUCGGCGUUGGGGAUCGGCCCUUUACGGGGCCGGCCCCGAAAUACAGUGGCGGUCUCGCCGCAGCCUCUCCUGCGCAGUAGUUUGCACACUCGCAUCGGGAGCGCGGCGCGUCCAAUGCCGUAAAACACCCAACUUUCUGAAAUGUUGACCUCGGAUCAGGUAGGAAUACCCGCUGAACUUAAGCAUAUCAAUAAGCGGAGG
rnacentral:misc_RNA from 1 species